rnacentral:rRNA from 1 species
UCUGGCGCCUUCGGUGUCCGAGUUGUAAUUUGAAGAUUGUAACCUUGGGGUUGGCUCUUGUCUAUGUUUCUUGGAACAGGACGUCACAGAGGGUGAGAAUCCCGUGCGAUGAGAUGCCCAAUUCUAUGUAAGGUGCUUUCGAAGAGUCGAGUUGUUUGGGAAUGCAGCUCUAAGUGGGUGGUAAAUUCCAUCUAAAGCUAAAUAUUGGCGAGAGACCGAUAGCGAACAAGUACAGUGAUGGAAAGAUGAAAAGAACUUUGAAAAGAGAGUGAAAAAGUACGUGAAAUUGUUGAAAGGGAAGGGUUUGAGAUCAGACUCGAUAUUUUGUGAGCCUUGCCUUCGUGGCGGGGUGACCCGCAGCUUAUCGGGCCAGCAUCGGUUUGGGCGGUAGGAUAAUGGCGUAGGAAUGUGACUUUACUUCGGUGAAGUGUUAUAGCCUGCGUUGAUGCUGCCUGCCUA